CACCUAGUUGUAAACAAAUGGAAAUUGAAAGUAAAAGUGCAACGGCACGGUAUAUUUUUUCUGGCAUUUUUUGUUUUCCAAUAUCUCGAACUUUCACGACAAAAAGACCAUUUUCCCGAAAUUCAAUAUAUGUAUCAGUGAGAGGUGCUAAAGUUUGUAUGGAAGUCUAUGGGAAAACAUUUGGUGGUGUUUGUCCUAUAGAAAAGCAAUGCAUUAUCAAGAAGGAAGAGAUUAAUGAACCCUACCCUCUUACAAUGAACAAAACAUGGACACUCUCGGGAUGAUCCUUUUGCUUUCAUUAAGAGUUUCAAGAUGUGGGUCUGAUUGACUGGGGUGUGAAAUGUAACAGCCAAUGGUGUACUUAAGCUAAGACUGUCAGUCCCAAUAUUCAAGAGGAAAAACCCCUACAUAAACAAAUACAUGGGCGCAGACAUUUUGGACACCCAAGGUUGUGCGGAGGAGAAAAUGCUAGCUGGCGCGUGAUUGGUCAAUAAUGGGAAAAGACUUGUUAUGUAUUUGACAAGUGAAAUAAAGUUGAUAAAAAUCUCAUAUCAAGACUUGGGUUUCUUUGAGGUAUAUAGGAGUUACAGGUAAAAAUUUGAAGGGAGGGAUGCACUUUGGUUAGAGAUUUUCAUUUGGUGUCAAACGCACCUAGUUGUAAACAAAUGGAAAUUGAAAGUAAAAGUGCAACGGCACGGUAUAUUUUUUCUGGCAUUUUUUGUUUUCCAAUAUCUCGAACUUUCACGACAAAAAGACCAUUUUCCCGAAAUUCAAUAUAUGUAUCAGUGAGAGGUGCUAAAGUUUGUAUGGAAGUCUAUGGGAAAACAUUUGGUGGUGUUUGUC